AGACAGACAGAAGGACAGACAGACAGACAGACAGACAGGUUGAUUUGGAGGAUGUUGACAGCCCUCUUCAUGAUGGAAACUUUAACAGCUUUAUGAUCAACGUUUAUAUGUUUAUAUUAU